AUAAUUUAACUAAUAAGCUAAAUAAAUACAUACAUAAAAUUUGCUAUAUUUUUUAUAAAUAAUUUUCUAAACAAGCUAGCCAAAAUGAAUUAUUUUUAUUUGUCAAUUUUCCUUUUUUUUGUGUUAUUUGUACAAAAUGAUUUUGUUUUAAGUGAAAAAAUCAUUCCUAUAAGUCCUGCUAACCGUUCUAAAUUAAAAAAAAUAAUAGAAAACAAAAAAGAUUUUAAAAAAAAAAAAAAAUUAAAGGAUUGGUGAAAAAAAAAAAAAAUAUAUAUAUUGUAUAUAUUAUUGUAUGGUUGCACAAAUGUAUCAAUAUUCAUAACAGAAAAAAUGAUUAUUUUAUUUUUAUUUAUUUUUUUUUUUUUCACCAAUCCUUUAAUACCUCUUUCUGUAAGGCACCUAUUGAGGACACAGAAGAAGUUCUUGAAUCUUUAGAUGCCCUUAUGAGAGUGGAAGAAAUUCAAAAAAAAGUUGAAGAAGAAGAAUUUAUGAACGAUAAGCAAAGAUUAUUAAAAGUUCAUAAAAAGAGAAUUCAGGAUAUUGUAACUUUAUCUUUUGAACCUUUACAAGCAUUCUUACCGAAUCCCUUGCAAUAUCUUGUCAUUCAAGAUGUUCAGGCAUAUCUUAAAAACUUAAAACAAUGAUAACAGAAAAAUUGAAUACCCACAUAAAUAAAUAAACAAACAAACAAGCA
rnacentral:lncRNA from 1 species